rnacentral:lncRNA from 1 species
ACAAACUUUGUCUUCAUGAUCUUCGAGAUUGGGUCCAUUGAUCUCAUCGAGGACCUCGGAAUAGCUUCCCCUACCUGGCGCGCCAACUGUCGACGAUUUGAAUGUCGGCAAUAUAUAUGGAGUGGUUAGCGAGGCGUAAAGAUCGAUGGUUAGGAUGAAGACACAGGGUUACCCAGGUUCGGGCUUUCGACUAGCGAGAUAAUACCCUACUCCUACUUGGUGAUUGUAUUGGAUCGUGGGCACAUCAACUAGAAGAUAGCCGAUCUGAAUAUGCCGUCUGUCUCGCCCUUGUCCCCUGAGGGGUGCCCCUAUCCUCUUAUAUAGUGGGGGAUAGGGCUUACAGAUAGAGUCCUAAUCUGUUGAGACUAAGAUCUAUCCUAAUUCGGUUACAACUUGGAUCCGGUAUAGGCGGCAUGCAAUCCAGCCGUAACCAAAUUCCGGUUGAUACCAUACAGAUAUAAUCUCCUUCCUAUUCAAUACCCCUACGACUGUAUGUAUACAUGUAGUCUACGGAUACCCCUAGCACAUGUAUUUUACAAAAGGCAAUAUAUGGCCAAACACCAUGGACAUGAUCACCAGGGAGUAGAUGGCAGUGAACGCAUCUCUGCAGCUUCCGGCAGCAUAGGCCCCCAUGAGACCAAGCAAGUCGAACACCAUGACUACUCGCAGCGCAGUCGCGCAGCGUGGGCACUCCUCCUCCAGGACGAGGAGGAGGAGGCAGACCACGAGGGACGCAGCGAACGCGGUUGCGUUGCAGUAGUAGAACGUGAUGUAUUGCUGAUAGUGGUUGCCUGGUAGGAUUGGGUCACUUGCGAAAUGGCCUUUCUCUGUGUCCUGCUAGAACCCUCCUGGCAUGUUGAGCCCUGCGGCGUAUGUCACCGUGGCAACCAGGGUGGCCAGCAGCAGAAGGUAAUUCUUCAGCUGGUACUCUGAUGAACCUGAAGUUUUCUUUUUGCUUGAUCCAUUUUGGUUGUGGGCACCUACUUCGUUCUUGUUUGACAUAUCUAUUGGUGGUUGAAAUAACAGAAAGAAUGCCCUUGAGGAGAUGACAAUCUCUGCUUGCUGCAGCUACUCAGGUUAUAUAGAUGGUCAGGUGCACAUAGCAGCACUGCGCCUUGAUUGGCACACUUCUCCCCAUGGAUCUGCGUG